UUUUACAUUCUAAAGUGAUCAAACAAUUUGGUAUUUUUGCCUUGCCAACAAGAAAAAAAUAUGUCUAAAGUUCUUAGUUUUGUUUAUAUUAUAAUUAAUUUUCUUUUCUUAACCAUAGAAGGUUCAACUUACGUUGGAUUAGAUUUGUGCAGUUCUGAUAAAGAUUGUUCUGCUACUAAGUGUGUUUUUGCUGAAGUUGCAAAAUGCAUAAAGCACAUUUGUAAAUGUGGAAAAUAUUAAUGGUACCUUUAACAUGUAGCUUUUAAAAAAUAAAUUCUCCAUCCGUUUCACAAUAGGUGUUCUCUUUGAAAUUUUCACACAUUUUAAGAAAAUAAUUAAUUAUAUUGAUUUCAAUGCUAAAAUGAGUCUCAUUUACUAAAAUAACCUUAUUAAUAAUAGGUAGUGGAGUACUUAAAUGAAUUAAAUUACAAUAAAUAAGAGUAAGUUAGUGGAAAUAAAUAAUAAAUAUCACAUUGGUAUUCUAAAUGGACAAAUAAUUUUAGACAAAUAAAAAUAAGAAAGAGGACACCUAUUGUGAGAUGGAGGGAGUAAAUAAAUGUUAUUACUUUUAUCUUUUCUCUCAGACUUCAACCGUGUUUGUUGUCCCUUUAAAUUUAUACUUUCCUUUUGAAUUCUUUGCUUCUUCCUAUGGUAUAUUUUGUGUAACUUACAACGUUCUCUCUUAAAUCACGAUUAUUUUACAAAAUAGUUAAGAAGGAUUUCUUUGUCAAGUAACCUUCUUUAUUAUUGUCAAUACAAAAUGGCAUUGACAAAAUCACAAGAAGGCUUAUUGCAUGAAAAAAUAUCUCAUAUCACAACUCAAUAUGCCAUAUUUUUCUAAAAAGCAUAAACAAUCCCACAAUCCUAUUUUGUUUAUGGUAAGGAAAUAUAUUGUUUGAAAUUAUGGUUGGGGAAUUCUAAGGUGUCACACACAAUGUUGCAAUAAUGUGUAUGACAAGAUUAGUACCUAAUCUAUAAAAAUAACAAUAAGUAAAAAUGAUACAAGAAAUUGUUAAUCCAAUUCGAUGCAAAGUCACCUAUGUUUAGAGAGCGUUAACCAAAAAAAAGAAAAUUCAAUCUUAUUAGUCAAAAGUACAAAUUUGUCUUAAUUAAACCACCUUAUUUCAAUGCACAUUUUUCUAGUACUACCCAUUAAUUUCUAUUCACGGCCCUCCCUGAAUAUGAGACCCCUCUCAAUUUCUUUCAAACACUCUCCCUAGUGUUUGGACAGUUACAAUAGCUUAUGAAUGAUGGAACAAGUUUCAACUCAAGAUAAUAUAUUCCUCAAUAUAGGAAUAUGACUUAUGAAUGGAGUAUAACAACACAAAACUAAAACAAAACAAAAUACUCAACAUAACUAAACAAGCCUUGCUUGAUUCUUAAGAUUUGAGUCUUUUACAAUGAAGAGUUCCUCUUUGAUAGUAAGUGAGCUCAGCUGCAAAGCCUAUUAGGGUUUCUACUUUCAAAUGGAGUUGAAUAAAUUCCACAAGCGCAUGAAAUUAAUCUUCAUUAAGUUAAUUUGUAAUAUUUAAUUUGAUAAAUCUUCAUCAUAUCAUAUUUGCUCUUUUAAAUCUUGAUGAAUGAAAUUUUAGGGAAACUUCAAUAUUCUAAAAAGCGCAUAAAAAUUCAUACAAGUUUAGAAAAUUAUGGAUUGAAUUUUGACUUGGAUUGAAUUUUUCCACGAUUCUACUGAAUCUUUAUUAAAACCUACAAAAAAAAAAUAUAAACACUUUAAGUUUUAAAGUACUUUAAAAUAAAAGAAAUUGUUAUUAAAAACAUGCUAUGAUGGAUUGUCAUUACAACCCGAAACUUGAGCAUUUUCUUGUCCUUGAGAAAAAAGCUUGAAAAUUAAGAUUUUUAUGAAAACAUGAGAAAUUGUUUAUUUCAAUGAUUAUUUCUUAGUUGACGCUACUUAGCAGAAUAAUUCCAUUCUCUUUCGGAAGUUCUAUUUUUAUUCUCAUACCUUGAGACGAGUAAUUCAAAACACUUCAAUCAUAAUCAUCUCUCUUCAAAAUUUUCUAUCUUCUCACCAUUUCACCCGAAUGACGAGUUUACGAUAAACAUGAAUUCUUUAUAAUUACUAUAUCAAACAUUUGUUAAUACACUAUAUUUUGAGGUCUUAAGGGUUGUAACACAACUUUAAUUAGGUUUGGAUAAAUUUGGGAAACGUGGACUAACUCAUAGAGUUAGGCACUAAAUUCCUUCAUUUAUCCAUUUUUAAGAGGUUUUUGUUUAUUUUUCCGUAAUCAACACAUUUAGGGGUAGGUCCUAAGUUAUUUUAAAGUUUUUCAAAUAUUUUUGGUACCCGUUCUUUUUUUAAUAUUUUUUAAUUCUCUUUGUUUUAUUUUUCUUUCUUGUUUUUUUCUUCUGAAUGGUACCUAUUUUUCCGAUAUUUUUCAUAGUCUCUUUUAUGAAGUUUAAUCUUAACACCACCACCCAAAACUUUAAAUGUUGUUAUUCCAGAGAAACCCGAACCUAAUUGUAUGCUAUACUAAAUGUUUUUCUUUCUUAUAUAUUGAUCUUACCGAGCGGGUCAGGUGGCCAGCAACAAUGAAGGCUUGAAGUUCGGGAUGAUGGAUGUGAGAAAAAGGGGGUUGUACCUGCAAGGCACUCCGAUACCAAAAGUCAAUGGAUCGUGCUCGUCAUGACCGGAUGCUUAGGCAGGCCAGCAAGUUAAAAGGGGUUGUUAAGAAGAGCGUUGGUCUUAGACUGGUUGUUGCGCAAAGAUCCCCGGUAGGAGGCUUGGGUGUCUCCUCCUCUGGUGCUGCUACCGCUGCUGGUUCCCCCCUGAGGAACUCUGAUCAGGACGAGUCUUUGAGGCCAGUUACGGUGAUUCCUUCUCCCCUUCGCCCACAGCCCGAUCCGGACGCCUUGGUUCGCCGCAAGCGCCAGAGAACCGAAGUCGUGGACCUUACUCAGAAGGAGGCUGCUGAUAUCUUCACCCUCCCUUCGUACUUUCUUCAGCCCAUAUUCUUCGAAGGUGGACCCUCCUUGACUAUUCCACGUGCUGAAUCUCUGCACAUUGAGGGUUUGGAGCCUUCUGUUCGUCAAAGGUUCCUUGUGCAGGACGCUUCGGCCAUGGUUCGGCUUCUGGAGAUGGCCACUCUCUAUGCUCGCUCGACGCCUUUGUCAGCGGAAGUAGUGAGGUUGCUUCAGGAGCAGGUCAAGAUGAAGGCCUCUGCCUUGGAGGAGAACGACCAGCUGCUGAAGGAGUAGGGCGAGGAACUGGACGCUGUGAAGGCUCGGCUGAACGAAAAGGAGGCUGCUCUGGUGGACGUGCAAGGUCGAUACACCUUGCUCUCCAGAACUCUGUAUGGAACAAUGAUGUCUUCUUCGGUUAGGGAGGCCUCUCUUCGCCGUUCUCAGGAUCCUGCUGAGGAUGAGUCGGAAGAGGAGAAGGCUCUUUUAACCCGGGCAGACUUGAUUCAAUAUAUCAGAGUCUUGGGGAGUGACUGUGUGGCGGCUGCCGAGGAUCGUAUCACUCCACUGUGGCCCAGCUCAAAUUGAAGAAUCCGGGGGUGGAGUUGGUGAUCGAAGGUACUGGGCCUUACCAUCGUGUGGAGGGCGACCAGAUUGUUUCUCCGGCCUUUGGGGAGGAGCUCGUGACGGAGGAAGCCGAGGAGGUCCAAGUCUAGGAAGGUGUUUGAAGAUUUUCUUUUUAUGUGUUUUGAAUGUUUGGGCCUGCGUGCCUUGAUUUUGUAAGUGUUAUGCUGGGGGGUAUGCCCCCCAUUCUUAAUUUGUAAGUAUUCUCACCAGCUCGGUCUUAACGGCCGUAGUUGGGCACUUCAUCGGGCUUUUGCCCGUAAUUAUUUAAGUAUUAACGGUUUUUGCUAUUUCCUUGGAAUCUGUGUGCAUGCAUAGUGAUUUUUUGGAAAGAGUGUUAUCGUUUUCCAAUGUCUUUAUUUAUUGAAGGCAUAUUCGUUUCCCAAGAUUAUCGUUCCCCUUCUUCCCUUAUAAAAGGAGGUCUCGCGGACCUCUUCUUUCUUCAUUUUUCGCAGGAAUGGGAGGAGCUAAGGAAAAGCAGGUGUCUUCAAUGUCGCGUUCUAGCGGGGCGAAGAAGACGAAGGAUAAGAAGACUUCAAGUAGUUCUGCUACCCGUUCUCGAGGCUCUGCGAAUUCGGAUGCUCGUGCCCGGUUGACGGGGGUAAGAGGCGUGGUUGAGACAGGUUGUUCCGAGACUGAAUGGGAUGAAGAUUGGUACCAGUACCUUCAUUCAGAGGAGUUUGCUCGUCAGAGGGAGUGAAGCGUUUCCCUUUUAUUCGAUAUCUGUUUUGUAAUUUGUAUGAAUGAUAAGUAAAGUAAUCUUGUUGUGUUUUACGGUUUAUUUUGCAUUUUCGGGAGUUUUUUGCUCAACUAUACUGUGUUGAUCGCCAAGUGUGUGGAACUGUGGUCGAUUACCGGGGACAUGUGCCUGGCAUAUGGUGAGUCUUGGAUUUUGUUGUAUUGAGCUCCGGGGCUCGUGGCAUGAACGGUCCCUUCGCGAGCGGGGCGUUCUGCCAUCAUGGUACAUGUUUAUGAUGGGGAUACUCUGUAUUUAGGGCUCCUCGAAGAACAAAGAGUCUGCUCGAUAAAAAGAGCGGGCUCCCGUUGUUUUGUUUCAUUCAGAGGCGUUUGGCUCGUACCAGGCCGCACCUUUAUUUUAGCUGUAGUAUCAUUUGAGUUUCUCAGUGUUCCAGGGUCGAGCGAGUUCUUCUCCUUGCAAGUUCUCCAGGUAGUAUGCCCCAUUUUGUGUCCUUGCUCGGACACGAUAGGGGCCUUCCCAAUUCGCGGCCAGUAUGCCUUCUCGGGAAUCUUUGUGGUUUCUUUUUAGCACUAGGCUGUCUACUUUAAAUUCCCGUUUAAUGACCUUCGCGUCAUGUCUUAGGGCGAUUUUUUGCUUGAGUGAAGCUUCGCGUAGAGCGGCCCCGGUGCGAAUUUCCUCGACCAGGUCGAGCUCUUCCCUGAUUGCCUCGAUGUUGCCCUUUGUCUCGAGUGGCUCUUCGAUGCGUCUCGAAGGCACAUGUAUUUCGACGGGGAUCAUGACCUCCGUUCCGUACAUGAGUCGGAAGGGGGUCUCUCCGGUAGUGGAAUGUGGGAUGGUGCGAUAGGCCCACAGGACGCUGUGCAGCUUUUCUACCCAUCCCCUUUUUAUCUCGUCUAGUCUUCUUUUGAGGGCCCUCAAAAUUACUCUGUUAGCAACCUCUGCUUUCCCGUCCGUUUGUGGGUGUUCGACUGACGCGAAAUGUUGCUUCGUUCCUAAUUUCAUGACGAACUCUUGGAAGCGCCCGUCUGUGAACUAGGUGCCGUUGUCGGUGAUGAUAGCCAAUGGUACCCCGAACCGGGCGAGGAUGUUUCUUUUGUAGAAGCGGAGUACGUUCAAGGAUGUGAUUUUGGCCAAUGGCUCGGCCUCGAUCCACUUGAUGAAAUAGUCGACCGCAACUAUUAGGUACUUGUUCUGAUUGCUUCCGGUCACGAAUGGACCGAGGAGAUCCAUCCCUCACCAUGCGAAUGGCCAGUGAGAUGAUAAGGACUUGAGUUCGUUGGAGGGUGCGAGGUGCAUGUCCCCGAAAUGUUGGCAUUUGUCGCAUUUCUCCACGUAUUCUUUGGCGUCGUCUUGUAUCGUCGGCCAAUAGUAGCCUGCUCGGAGGGCUUUCCGAGCAAGUGAUCUUCCUCCUAGAUGUUGGGAAUUGAUUCCUUCGUGUAUCUCUCGGAGUAUGUGGGGAACUGUGCCCUCGUCUAUACAUUUGAGGAGGGGUAUGGAAAAUCCUCUCCAGUAGAGGCGAUUUUCGACUAAGACGUACGAGCAGGCUCUCCUUCGGAUGGUGGAGGCCUCUUUUGGAUCAGCGGGCAAGAGGUCACUUGCUAGGUAAUUGUAUACGGGGGUCAUCCAACAGGACGCGUCCCCAAUUGCGCUUACGAGUGAGAGUGAAGAUGAGGUCUCGGUACUGGUGUAGCGGGGAAAAUCUGAUAUCGAAGCCAUAGGAUGACUAGAAUCAAUAUUUCAGUGAAAGUCGCCACCGCGCUUUAUUGUUUCCAAAGGAAAAGGGAAAAGAACGAAAAAAAACCCAAAGUUUGUUUUUUUUUAAAACAAAAAGAAGAGAUCUUAGGUACGGGUGUUGCUUAUAUGAGGGGAAGGUUUUAAGCACCCCUCAUAUCUGUGGUACUCCACAGGAACCUUUUUGAAAAUCUGUGUGUGUGUGUGCUAAAAACGGUUUGUUUUAUUUUUAAAAUAAGCUCGGCAAAGCGUUAAGCUUUGUGCCUACAUACCUCCUCGGUGCAAUGGAGAAGUCAGAGCUAAUGUAGUUCCACUUUUGGGAAAACGUUUUUAAAAACGAAUAAACACUUUAUCGUCGUCGGAGAGAAAUACUCAGCCAUUGAUCUUGAGCAUGAGAACAAACGAGUUCUUUGCAUCGCAAAUGAAAGAAGGGCUCCAACUCGGAUAAAAUCGACGAGUAUGCCACUAGCUCUCUCACGCGGAAAAGAUCUCAUUAUAUCAAUCAAUUUCAAAAUCGUGGGGUAUAACCACUCGUUUCGACAAUUAACGGUGUCUAAACUUUUGAAGAAAAGCCACUAAGGGCGAAAGAUAUUUUUUGAGAAAAAGGUUUUGAAAAGGUUGCAAACAUAAGAAUGUUUUGGAAAAAGGGAGAAGAUUUUGAAAAUUAAAGAAGGGGAGGAGAUGAAGAGGCUAUCCUAUUGCGUAAAAUAAAAGCUAAGGAAAGAAACGGUCUAACCGAAGAAGAAGCCAACACUCGACAUUAAGAGCCAAGGUAGAUUUCCCAUCCUUUGGAAUUAUCAAUACCAACACAUUAACACUUGGGGGAUCCAGAUGAACUUAUUGUCUUAGCACAACUUUGUAUUAAGCACAUUAAAAUUCUGACAAAAAUCGGGCAGAGUAACGGCUGUUUUCGGGUAAAAUCCUUAUCUCAAUGCCUUGGAAUUAACCAUCAAGGGCUUUCAAGGAAAUACCUGCACAUACAAACAGACAACAAUCCAAUGCCAGACAGACAGAAUAACAGCAGAGUAAUAACAGAAUAAGAGUCCAGAGGUCCUAAGUCCAUAAGUCCGAGUCUCCAGAAUGCUAGGGAUAGUAACCAAUAGUCCAAAAGAGAGCCUUAUGUGUUUUUUAGAUUUUGGUUGUUUAUUAGUGUUUUAGCCUAAAAGUAAAGUAUGGUCCAAGUGGACAAAAGAAAAAUAGCGGAAGCAUAAACAUAUGUCCAAAUGGACAAAGAGAAAAUAGCGGAAUUAUAAACGUCCAAAUGGACAAAGAGAAAAUGGCGGAAUGUAAAUAUGAUGAAAUGAUAAAAUAAAGCGAUAAAGCGAGAAAUAUAAAGAGCGGUAUAAUAAAUGGCGGAAAUUAAAGUUAGUUGUUAGAUGUUAAAGAUAACCAUCUUGAAACUUGUCAAGUAUGUUAUCAAAGUUAGUAAUGAAGAUCGAUGGUGAGUGAAUGAUGUACUCGAAUUUAAGGUCAAUGGAAACUUAUCAGAAGCUUGAUAAAAUCAUAGCGACUACACGAUAAAUUUCCAUAAGUCAUAAAUCAACCGCAUAUAAUUCUUUUCUAUAUUUGAUCUUUUAUCGAGUCGGGACAAAUGUAGGAGAAUUCUCCAUGUAUCAAGAUCAUCAAUCAAAAGAAAUAAGAAGGAGAAGAAGAAAUGAUCUAGCCUUUAUCAAGAAUCCAUAGAAUUCUCAAGAUAUCAAGACUUUCAUCGAUCAAGAGAAAAUAAGAUGAAAAAAAAUAAGAAUGAAAACAAAUUGAUCUAGUCUUUAUCAAGAAUCCAUAGAAUUCUCAAGAUAUUAAGACUUUCAUCGAUCAAAAGGAAAUAAGAUGAAAAGAUAAGAACGAAAACAAAUUGAUCUAGUCUUCAUCAAGAAUCCAUAGAAUCCUCAAGAUGUCAAGACUUUCAACGAUCAAAAGAAAGUAAGAUGAAAAGAUAAGAAUGAAAACAAAUUGAUCUAGUCUUCAUCAAGAAUCCAUAGAAUUCUCAAGAUAUUAAGACUUUCAUCGAUCAAAAGGAAACAAGAUGAAAAGAAGAAUAAAAUGCAUAAAAGAUAAUCAACUCACACUAUCAUUAAUAUCAUUCAUCCAUUUUGGUGGAUUAGGUCAUUUCAAACCUAUCAACACCCUAGAUCCAAUGAUAUUAAUGAAGUGGAGGAAGAAGGAAGCCAAAACAAGCACAAAAAAGGCAAAAAACCACAUUAUGCCUGCUGGAAAUCGAUUUCAUGCAGGGGGAAAUCGAUUUCCAUAGUGCAGUUUUCAAAAAAAACAAGUUACGUUCAGCAGGAAAUCGAUUUCAGCCUUAGUGAAAUCGAUUUCCCCAGUGCAAAUUUCAGCAAAAACAGCAUUUAAAGACAUGGAACUUGACUUGAACAAAUAUACAAACACCUUAUGAUCACACAUCAAUUAGAGCACGAAUUUUCCAUCAAAUCACCAACAAAUAGCACCAAUAUAGCAUCAAAGAUGCAUUGAACACAAACAACAAAGAAUCACAUUGUGAUAUACAAAAAAGGAUGAAGAAAAUUACCAAAUCUUGAACAAAACUUAGAUCUACAUCAAGAAUCACCAAGACAAAUCUUGAUCUCUCAACAAUUGAAGAAAAAAGAGUGAAAUAGAUGGUGGUUUAGCUCAAAGUUUGUGAGGUUCAAGGUGUGACUCACAAACUUUAUGAAAGAACAAAGAGCUUUGGUGAAUUUGGUAGGGAUGAGGAGAGAAAUUGCAAGGGGUUUUUUGGCUCUCAAAGCUUGAGAAAUGAGAGAGUAGUGGGCUCUAUUUAUAGGAUGAGAGCAAGAGUAGUGGUAGUUUGUUCUUUUUGCAUUUGGUAAUUAGCUUGUGUUUAAUUGGUGAUUAAAGUGGCAAUUAAAUGGUAAAAAGUGGUAAAAUGGGGUUUAAGUGGGUUUAAUGAAGGGAUUAAUUUUGAUGAGGUGGAAAAUUGGUAAAAUGAUCAAAUAAAAAGGUGCCAAAAUGAUGUCAAGCUUCCUUCCUUAUACUUUUUGAAUUUCGCCUUAAGGAAAUCGAUUUCCCCAAGAGUGAAAUCGAUUUCACUCUGUUCCAGAAGAGAAUUUGGCGCAAAAUACACUAGGGAAAUCGAUUUACCCAGGAGGGAAAUCGAUUUCAUGCUGUCCAGAAUGUGAUUUUGUUGAAGAUUGCUGCAGGGAAAUCGAUUUACCCAGUAGGGAAAUCGAUUUCAUCAGUCAAAAAUGUGAAAAAUGCCUUGUUUAUUGCAUGUCUUGGCUUGGUACCUACAAAACAAAAGCCUACAAAGAAAUAAAGCAAUGUUUUUGGUAUUUGGGUUAGUAUAAUAUGCAUACAAGAUAAACAAUCAUUGGUACUUGAUGGUCCCUCUUAUUGAUGAGGUGAGUGCAACACCAUAAACAAAACUUCCAAGUGAAGCUCUUGAUUAGUGAUUGGGAUAUGAAUGAUAUAGGAUCUUAGGGUCAAAAAUUGGGGUAUGACAGAUGCCCCUAUUUAAGUUUCUUCGAUUUGGAGAUACGAUGAUUGGAAAUCUUCGUUUUGACAAAAUCGAAGAGACUUAAAUAUAUAAAACACAAUUUUUGAUCCUAAGAUGCAAUGCAAUGUUUAAUGAAUGCAUAUGAUGAUAAUAAAGCAUGACAACACUGGGGAGUAAAAGGUACUCCACUGGGGAAAAUAAAUGUCUUGCUGGCAAAUCUCCGCUGGGGAAGGCAAGACUUUGUUGGAGAGAUGAAACUUUGGUAGGGAAAGAAAUUUCUCUGGGGAAAACACUUCGCGUCAGAGAGGUUAUAGAAUCCUCUUUCACUGGGGAUGAGAAAAGGGGAACAUCCUCUUUCACUGGGGAUGAGAAAGUAUGCAUCCUGAAUCAGAAUGCCAACCUUCCGUCAACAGAAAACACACCAUCGUACCACUGAUGAUAUGAAGAGAUGUACCGCCGUACCACUGACGAUAAGAUUUUGAUUCGUGGACCAUCCUCUUACUCAAUAGUUGAAGGUAGAAGAAAAUCGAAUCACCGUCUCAAUAGUUGACGAUAAGCUACCAACUCAAUGGUUGAAGGUAGAAGAAGAUCGAAUUACCGCCUCAAUGGUUGACGAUAAGCUACCAACUCAAUAGUUGAAGGUAGAAGAAAAUUGAAUUACCGCCUCAAUGGUUGACGAUAAGCUGCUGAGAACAAUGAGUUGCCGCUGAGAAUAGGGAUCAACUUCUUCUUUAAUCAAGGACAUGGCUUGAGAAAAGGAACUGGAUGCAAACUGUCACUUACACUAAAGCGACUUACCAUUUGCUGACUUUGCUGAGGAAUCUUUAAGCAAAACGAACUGUCUUCGUGAAGAAGGCUGCCAUUCGUUAUCUCAAAGGGAACAAACUGUCUUCUGCUGAAAGAGACUGCCAUUUGCCGACCCUGUCGAGAAAUCCUUAAGCGGAACGAACUGUCUUCUGCUGAAAGAGACUGCCAUUCGUUGACCCGUCUUAGGAAAAAGUGAGCAAACUGUCUUCUAAUGGAGGAGACCGCCAUUUGCUGACUUUAAAAUAAGAAUUCUUAAACGAACUGUCUUCAUGAAGAAGAUUGCCAUCCGUUAUCUCAAAGGGAACAAACUGUCUUCUGCUGAAAGAGACUGCCAUUUGCCGACCCUGUCGAGAAAUCCUUAAGCGGAACGAACUGUCUUCUGCUGAAAGAGACUGCCAUUCGUUGACCCAUCUUAGGAAAAAGUGAGCAAACUGUCUUCUACUGGAGGAGACUGCCAUUUGCUGACUUUAAAAUAAGAAUUCUUAAACGAACUGUCUUCAUGAAGAAGACUGCCAUCCGUUAUCUCAAAGGGAACAAACUGUCUUCUGCUGAAAGAGACUGCCAUUUGCCGACCUUGUCGAGAAAUCCUUAAGCGGAACGAACUGUCUUCUGCUGAAAGAGACUGCCAUUCGUUGACCCAUCUUAGGAAAAAGUGAGCAAACUGUCUUCUAAUGGAGGAGACUGCCAUAUGCUGAUUUUAAAAUAAGAAUUCUUAAACGAACUGUCUUCAUGAAGAAGACUGCCAUCCGUUAUCUCAAAGGGAACAAACUGUCUUCUGCUGAAAGAGACUGCCAUUCGUUGACCCAUCUUAGGAAAAAGUGAGCAAACUGUCUUCUAAUGGAGGAGACUGCCAUUUGCUGACUUUAAAAUAAGAAUUCUUAAACGAACUGUCUUCAUGAAGAAGACUGCCAUCCGUUAUCUCAAAGGGAACAAACUGUCUUCCGCUGAAAGAGACUGCCAUUUGCCGACCCUGUCGAGAAAUCCUUAAGCGGAACGAACUGUCUUCUGCUGAAAGAGACUGCCAUUCGUUGAGCUUCUUCCAUUUGGAAUCAAGAAGUUCAUAAAGUAUGAGAGAUUAUCACUUGAUUUGAAGAUAAGAUUGAUAUGUGGAGACGCACAAACUUGCUCAAAUAAAGAGGCUUCAAUUUGUUGUCAACCAAAACAUGAUGGGGAUAACACAAGUUGCUCAAAGUCAAAACCUGCCCCUUGCUUUCAAGCACAAAUUCCAAGGGAGUGCAAUAACAUCACUGCUGGAAAAUAAAUCUUUCAAUAUCUGAUAAGAACAUCAAUCACAAACAAGUUCUCCAUUAUAGAGGAAAGCAUAAUCCUCAAGAGGUGCAAAAUAAAUGCCUUCUCAAUCUAGGUUUCCCAGCCUAGAGAGGUUCAAAAUAGUAUUGCAAGAGACCAAAGUUCAACUCCAAGAACAAGCUGGAUAGAAACGGUCAAACAAAGCUUUGCCCCUUGAGGAAUAAACUCAAAUGGGGAUUAAUUCCAUCCUGACAAAUGAGCUGAAGAGGAACACUGAAGAAAAAUUCUUCCACGAAGAACAAACUCAGUGGGGAUUAUCAAUUUCUGCGAGGAAUUUACAGAUAAUCUUCUUCUUAUCAAAAAGGUUGGACAACACAUCAAGCUCUAUUAGGGGGAAUCAGAGAAAAUUUCUUUGGAGAAAAUCUCCAUUCUGAACUUGCAGAGGAAAUAAGAAGUUAACAUCAAAGCAAACAAGUUACCAUGCAGGGGAUUUUAGUUCAAAACUCAACACAAGGUGAGAAAGAAAACCCAACAGUCAACCGUUGUCUCAAAACUUCUUGGUAGAGAGUGACAUACUCUGGACUAAUCAGGGCAACAACCUUUGUACUUCAAGCUAAUGAGGUGAUCAAGGUAACUUCUGAUUCACAACUUGCCCCAGACUACAUAGUCUAUGAAAGGAAACUACCUCAAAAAGGUUCAUAGAGAUCCUUGGCAUCAUGAAGACUUGGAAUAAUCUGCCCCAGAUCAACAGAUUCUUGGAGAGAUUUGUCAAAUCUCGACGUAGCUGCCCAGAUUGACUAAACUUGGCACAUUCUUUUACUCGACAAAGUCUUCGAGAUUUUCCCCAUGAUGGUAAUCAAACUUGCAAAAGCAUUAUACUGGGAAAACAACAUGCCCCUGGCAAUGUUUUAGUUUUCUACUGAUGAUCAGAUGUAAACUUCCUGGAUGUCAAACAAAUGUUUAUAAGCAGAAAAAUGUUUAUUCUGAGAAUGAUAAUGAAAAUGCAACAAUUAUGUAAGUCUUGAAGUUUUAUUGAAAAGAUGUCACAAAACCUUGUGAAUGAAUCACUGGUUAAGGAAUGACAUUGAUUUUUGUAUGCAUAUAAUACCAACACAAGUUUUCAGCAUAACCGAUAGGAGUCAGGAACACUUUCUUGUUUAAGUAUGCUUUCGAAAUAAACCCUGCUUCAAUUAGGACUUUUGAGGGUUGUAACGUGGCCUGGUUCAUGGUUUUCAGAAAAAAAGAUUUUUAGGCUCAAAGUUUAUUUAGCCCACCCCAUCUUCGUGAUGUUCUCCAGUCCUAUGUUCAGUUAACUCAACAUGAGUAUUCGUCUCUCAAAAGGAUUUUGUACCGUUAAGGACCUAAUGAAGCUUUCUUGGAGUAGCAGUCACCCUUUUGUCUUCGUUUUUGUAUUCACACAUAUUUGUUCAUUUUUGAGGACUUUUGCUUUAUAGUCCUUUCUUUUUCACUUUUCACUCUUUUCUCUUUUUUUUUUAAUUUAUUUAUUUCCCUAACUUUUUCCUGGACUGAUUCUUUUGAAUUGGUCGUCCAGCGGGAUGCUCUAACUUUUGCCUAAGUCACUUGUUUUCAAGUUUUUGACUUAGCGAGCUUUUUUCUUCUUUCUUUUUUCUUUCUUUUUUAUUCUUUUUUUUUAUUUGAACAAAUCGUGUGACAUUUGACUUUGUCUUGACUUCUUGAGAGGGUUGUGACUGCUUUACUUCUUGGCGGAUGAAGGAUAACAAUUGUGGUUUCACAUUUUCCAGCCUUUUCAUGUGCGGGGAAUAACCAUUGUGGUUUUCCAUGAUCCAACCAUUGAUGUGGAUAUGACAUGCUUGACCUUUGGAUGCACAAUCAUUUUUGAAAUAUGAACACUCGGUCAAAUUAACUGAACACUACCCUGCCCCAGGUUAAAAAUUAGGGUUUUUUGUUUAGAAAAGAAAACUCCUACUUCAAGGCUCAAAGGGGUUAACAAGGGAUUAUCUUCCUUAUAUCUCCGGUGUUUGGGAAUUUGAAACAAUGCCUGUACAUCAUCAGCAGGGUCUUAUUCAAAAGCAUACAACCAGAAAUUUUGCGUUUUCAGAUCAUCAUCCUCCUUCCAAUCUUUGCAUAAGCAAGAGUUUGGCAAAAGUAAUUGGUAUCAUAAUGCAUAAAAACAAAUAAACAUGAGUGAAACGAAUGGAUUACUUCAAGACAAACAUUAUCAUUGCAUUAGCAUUAACAUUCAAAAAUAAACAAGUUUCUAUAUGCAAACAAUGCAUUGAAAAACAAGAAAUAUUACGAAUGAAAACCAGUAAGAAUUCUAAAAACUGAGAAAACUCUCUCCAUCUGGGCAUAUGCUGAACGAAACAUCUUUCGAACUUCAGGAUACCAUCAAUAGUGAUUCAAUCAUGCUUUGGCAAAGAAUUGGCUUGAACAUCAUAACCAACAUCUUGGAAAGUCAAAAUACCAGCAUGGAUUAAUCUUUGAACUUCAUUUUUUAGAGGCCAGCAAUCCUCUAAGCCAUGUCCAGGAGCAUUCUGAUGAAAAGCACAAGUAGCGUCAGCUUUGUACCACCAAGGGAGUUUCUCAGGCAUAGGAGGCGGUGACCUUAUCUGAACCAAUUUCUUACAAAUCAAAGCAGGGUACAAUUAUGUGUAAGUCAUGGGGAUGGGAUCAAAAUUCCACUUUUUGAGAUUAAUUUUGCUCGUUCGGUGGAAGAGCUUGUUGACGAGUACUCUACUGAUAAUCUGGAAUCGCAUGAACUGAAUUGGAUACAGGAAUGACAUAGGAAACAUGUUGAUGUUGAUGAUGAUUGUUUCCUCCCCUGAUUCUCUUCUUUGAAAAGUCAUUACCAAACUUCUGCACACUACCAGCUGAAUUACCUUCUUCAAGCAAACAUUCCUUUUGGACAUCUUUUUCUAGAAGCGUUUUCAUAUCCAUCUUUCCAUGGAAGUCAGUAGGUGUACGGACUACUAUCCCCUUAGGAAAGGAUGAGUUCAGAGUUUCAAGAAAGACCUUUGCCAUCCUUUCUUCCUUCAUAGAAGGAUUGACUUGGGCAGCAACUAAAGCCUCAACCAGAGCAGUCAGAUGCUCGAUACCAGCCUUCAGAGUAAUCACCUCUUCAUGGAGUUCGAGAAUCUCUUGUUUGAUACUUUCCAUUUCUUCUUAGCACGAGCGUUGUACUGAUGAUACCAGGAGAAAGGAAAUAAGGCUCUGGAGAAUUCUUUUAGAAAGCAGGACCAAAUGCAGAAUGAUGCAUGCAAUGCAGAUGAUUUGUUUUUUAUUAUUAUUUGAGUUUCAAGGAACUUAAGAUAUUAACUUGUAAACACUCAACAUUGGACUAAAGCUUUGAUUAAGUUAUCAUCAAAAUCAAUCAUCCAUUUUGGUGGAUUAGAGUUUUCACCCCAUCAACACCCAAGAUCCAUUGAGUUUGAUGAAACUUAUGAUGUUUACAAGGAAAGAUCUCUAAGUUCCUUGAAAAUCAAAAGAAAAAGAGUUUUCAUGGAUGCAUGAAUGCAUGGUUUAUGCAUCAACCACAAUCAAGAGCAUUCAAGGUCACAUAAGAUCAUAGUUCAAAGGUUCGACGUCACGAGCAUGGAGCCAUGGGUCUAACCAUCCCAAAAGGUAUAAUCUAGGAAAUUUUGUACCUGCCAAUCGGGUUCUACAAAGGUUCCCAGAGUUUUCAAUCUUCUAUCGGAUACUACCAGCACGCACAAUUGCUCAUGGGCGCCAAUAAUAUGCCUAAAAAGACCUCGUCUGAGCGUAGUAUCGCAUGACAACAAGCUCAAAUUGGUACUUGAUCUUGUUUCUGCACUACAUCCUAAAAAGGCUUAGAUUGGUUAAAAAGGUUCUAGGCCAUUCAGCUUCUACGGACACUCACUAUUGAAAGUAAUAGCGUUAUCACGAUGGUUCGUAACAACCUCUACUACCUUCCAUGAGGCCUCCACUGAUUGGGGUUCCACCAUAUGACGCUCAUGGUAAGGAUUGCUCCUGACAUGCGACUAUUGGUCUUACCACCUCCUAUCUCAAGUUACUCACCAAAGUUCGGGUUAGAACUUUAUCUCAUCACAGAGGAACCAUCGAGCACCAAAAAGAAAAAAAAAUAAACAAACAAAGCACACAAUAAUAUAUACAAAUACAAAACACACAGAUAAACAAAAAUAGGCUUAACACACUUAAAAACUGGAUCCCCAGUGAAGUCAACAUUUUACUGUAGCGGGGAAAAUCUGAUAUCGAAGCCAUAGGAUGACUCGAAUCAAUAUUUCAGUGAAAGUCGCCACCGCGCUUUAUUGUUUCCAAAGGAAAAGGGAAAAGAACGAAAAAAAACCCAAAGUUUGUUUUUUUUAAAACAAAAAGAAGAGAUCUUAGGUACGGGUGUUGCUUAUAUGAGGGGAAGGUUUUAAGCACCCCUCAUAUCUGUGGUACUCCACAGGAACCUUUUUGAAAAUCUGUGUGUGUGUGUGCUAAAAACGGUUUGUUUUAUUUUUAAAAUAAGCUCGGCAAAGCGUUAAGCUUUGUGCCUACAUACCUCCUCGGUGCAAUGGAGAAGUCAGAGCUAAUGUAGUUCCACUUUUGGGAAAACGUUUUUAAAAACGAAUAAACACUUUAUCGUCGUCGGAGAGAAAUACUCAGCCAUUGAUCUUGAGCAUGAGAACAAACGAGUUCCUUGCAUCGCAAAUGAAAGAAGGGCUCCAACUCGGAUAAAAUCGACGAGUAUGCCACUAGCUCUCUCACGCGGAAAAGAUCUCAUUAUAUCAAUCAAUUUCAAAAUCGUGGGGUAUAACCACUCGUUUCGACAAUUAACGGUGUCUAAACUUUUGAAGAAAAGCCACUAAGGGCGAAAGAUAUUUUUUGAGAAAAAGGUUUUGAAAAGGUUGCAAACAUAAGAAUGUUUUAGAAAAAGGGAGAAGAUUUUGAAAAUUAAAGAAGGGGAGGAGAUGAAGAGGCUAUUCUAUUGCGUAAAAUAAAAGCUAAGGAAAGAAACGGUCUAACCGAAGAAGAAGCCAACACUCGACAUUAAGAGCCAAGGUAGAUUUCCCAUCCUUUGGAAUUAUCAAUACCAACACAUUAACACUUGGGGGAUCCAGAUGAACUUAUUGUCUUAGCACAACUUUGUAUUAAGCACAUUAAAAUUCUGACAAAAAUCGGGCAGAGUAACGGCUGUUUUCGGGUAAAAUCCUUAUCUCAAUGCCUUGGAAUUAACCAUCAAGGGCUUUCAAGGAAAUACCUGCACAUACAAACAGACAACAAUCCAAUGCCAGACAGACAGAAUAACAGCAGAGUAAUAACAGAAUAAGAGUCCAGAGGUCCUAAGUCCAUAAGUCCGAGUCUCCAGAAUGCUAGGGAUAGUAACCAAUAGUCCAAAAGAGAGCCUUAUGUGUUUUUUAGAUUUUGGUUGUUUAUUAGUGUUUUAGCCUAAAAGUAAAGUAUGGUCCAAGUGGACAAAAGAAAAAUAGCGGAAGCAUAAACAUAUGUCCAAAUGGACAAAGAGAAAAUAGCGGAAUUAUAAACGUCCAAAUGGACAAAGAGAAAAUGGCGGAAUGUAAAUAUGAUGAAAUGAUUAAAUAAAGCGAAAAAGCGAGAAAUAUAAAGAGCGGUAUAAUAAAUGGCGGAAAUUAAAGUUAGUUGUUAGAUGUUAAAGAUAACCAUCUUGAAACUUGUCAAGUAUGUUAUCAAAGUUAGUAAUAAAGAUCGAUGGUGAGUGAAUGAUGUACUCGGAUUUAAGGUCAAUGGAAACUUAUCAGAAGCUUGAUAAAAUCAUAGCGACUACACGAUAAAUUUCCAUAAGUCAUAAAUCAACCGCAUACAAUUCUCUUCCAUAUUUGAUCUUUUAUCGAGUCGGGACAAAUGUAGGAGAAUUCUCCAUGUAUCAAGAUCAUCAAUCAAAAGAAAUAAGAAGGAGAAGAAGAAAUGAUCUAGCCUUUAUCAAGAAUCCAUAGAACUCUCAAGAUAUCAAGACUUUCACCGAUCAAGAGAAAAUAAGAUGAAAAAAGAUAAGAAUGAAAACAAAUUGAUCUAGUCUUUAUCAAGAAUCCAUAGAAUUCUCAAGAUAUUAAGACUUUCAUCGAUCAAAAGGAAAUAAGAUGAAAAGAUAAGAACGAAAACAAAUUGAUCUAGUC